UCCUUGUUAGUAUAUCGGUUCAGUACACGCGCCUGUCAUAACGCAAAUAUUGCCUUCACGCGCGAGAGCUGGGUUCGACUCCCAGACAGGGAG